rnacentral:misc_RNA from 1 species
GAUGAAGAACGUAGCGAAAUGCGAUAAGUAAUGCGAAUUGCAGAAUUUCCGUGAGUCAUCGAAUCUUUGAACGCACAUUGCGCCCACUGGUAUUCCGGGGGGCAUGCCUGUCCGAGCGUCAUUGCUGCCCUCAAGCACGGCUUGUGUGUUGGGCCCCGUCCUCCGAUCCCGGGGGACGGGCCCGAAAGGCAGCGGCGGCACCGCGUCCGGUCCUCGAGCGUAUGGGGCUUUGUCACCCGCUCUGUAGGCCCGGCCGGCGCUUGCCGAUCAACCCAAAUUUUUUAUCCAGGUUGACCUCGGAUCAGGUAGGGAUACCCGCUGAACUAAAGCAUAUCAAUAAGCGGAGGA